UUGUGUCAUGUUGGAUGCACGGUGACCCACCACGGGGAUAAAACAGUCUGAAUGUGAGAGGAAUGCAGCCAAGAAAUGAGAAAUGGAAAUGAGCAAAGAAAGAACGACGCUGUAAAACUCGCAAGAGGAGUUCUCAUAUGUUAAUGCGGAUGGCCUGAAGAACAGUAUUUGCAUUGCGCUGCAUGCUACUGAGGGAACCGAGGAGAGACAUGUUUGGAGCGCGCACGACUGCGCGCGUGCACAUCUCGGUCGGCUAUUGCCAGGAAACACCAGAGAGACUCCGGGCAAACAUCAGCACCCUGUGGCUCCAAUGUACAGACGCAGAAUGAUUAGAGACAGAAACCGAUGACUGAUGCUGACACUUUGUGAAAUGUAAAGAGCUAACUGUAUGAAAAAUCCUCUAAUAUUCCGCACCAACCCAGUCCCCUCGUUUAGCGGCGGUAUUGAUCGUUGUGUCAGUCACAGUGAUUGAGUCGACACGGGGUUGAUUGUGUAGCAGCUGAGUGAGAUUCAGGGGAGCAAAUCAGUGCCAGAGAUGUUCAACAGUCCACGUGACUACACUUCAGUAGCUAGUACAGUCGUUCAGCAAAGAGCUAUAAAUCUGCUUAUCCAAACAGGUGUGAUCUUGAUGCAGGGUGAUUUGUUCUCUUCAUCACGAGUCCUUGGUGCCUAGAAGUGGAGCAGCGACCUUUUUAAGAUCCCCAGUGUUUCCUUGUGCUCCCAGCAAGCUCAGCGCUGCCAGCCACGCUCGUCCUCUGCCCUCCUUUGCUCCUGCUACCGCCAGACCCCCAUUCCCUGCCACCGUCCCCCAAGACCCAGAA